UCUCCUUUACUUGAGGGUGGUUGGGUUUGGCGACACAGUACAACUCAAAGACUUUAUGUUUGACAACUCUCUAAUUACUGCAUUUGUAGAGCGUUGGUGUCCAGAGACCCGCACUUUUCACUAGUCUUGGGGUGAGUGCACAAUUAUCCUGCAGGAUAUUGCGUACAACCUUGGGUUAUGCACUCACGGAGAGCUAAUAGGUGGAUGCUUGUAUGAUUUUCAAACAUGGUACCAACACCCGACUUGGGAGUAGGUACAGGAGCUCCUUGAUGCCAGGCAUCCUCAUGCUCAGCAGUAAGGACGCAGAAGAAGAAGUCAUUUUCCAUCAAGCUGACGUGACUUAUGGAUCGAGUACAACAUAUGCCAACCACUACAGAUUUAGUCACUCUCCAACAGUACACAAGGUGUUACAUCCUACUGCUAAUCAGGGGUUAAUUACCUAAUGACAGACAAAUCAAACAAUCAGAUCCAUAGCAGGUGUUUGCCCUUAUUAAAGGACUUUGAGAGGUGUCGCUGUCUGUCUUGGAGAUUUGCUAUGUUUGCAUAGAUGUACCACUCGUUAUGCUUUGCAGCACAUCGAUAUACCACCAACAUCGCUAGAGGCACUCUGCUACUCGUCUCAUGGAUUUACCAUAGAUUUUUUUAGUAGUUUCUACCAGAGAGACAAAUUCUGACGUUUGCUCUGGCCGUGAGUUGAUAGGUAUGGUCCCUAGUUUGACCAGUGAGUCUUUUAUUGGCGUCUUUUGUUGGAUCAGUUACAAUUGCAUGAGGCCAAAAAUAAAUAUAAUGCAGCAGCAGCCCAAGUGAAUGAGAGAAACAUAUAAAUAAGGCUGGUGGGCUAAAAUGCAAACGAAGCCUAAAAGAAACAAAGAAUACAAGGCAACGGGCUGAAUGAAAAAGAUCUGAUCCAAGCCCAAUUCAUUGCCUCUCUCAUUCAAACUCUUCCAUCUUGCUCUCACCCAAAAGCAACGUUAACCUAUUCCCUCUUGGUCAGAACUCAGAAAAAGAAAGAGAGAGCUUCUUCCUAAGCUAUUCACUAAAGAAGCAAGAAAGAGAAGAUUAAGCAAAUGAUAGAAGUCUAAUCACCCAUCAUCAAUCUAUAUCAAGAAGAGGUAAGAAGUUAAAGGUGAUUUUCAUUUCCUUCUACAUGCAUCUCAUUUUCUUCUCUUCUUCCCAACACUCUGCCAUUCCAAAAAUGGGUUACAAGAGAAAGUUGAUUUUUGCUCUAAUCUGCUGUGUAUCCACGGUCACAAGUGUAUCUUGGGGACCAAGUUGGUUUUUAAUGGCUGAGAUAGGGUUUUACCAUUGGAAACAUCUGUGUAUGAUGUCAAAUGUCUUCGAUCAAGCAAAAAAGAGACAGCUUGGAAAUCAAUUUGGGAUAAAUAAAGAAAGUAAUCUCUGUUCACCACUACUGUACAUCAAUGGUCAAGAUUGUUUCUUGGGGACCAAGAAGUAUCUCAAGGGUUCAGAUUUGGGUUCACCAUUGAAAAUAAUUUUCUUUGCUUCCCUGAGGCUUUCGGUCAAGCAAGAAAAAGUCAGACUCAAAUUUCUAAUUUGGGGAUUAACUGGAAAAGUGACGUGGUAAGUUGGUGAAGCUCAAGGCUCAAAGUGUUGACCUUGGAAGAAGAACCAAGCAACAUGCAAGGAGAUAAAAAGAAGCUUGCUGUUCAUUCAGAAGUAAGGAGAGAAAACCAGAGUGUGAGAACAGUGUUCUGUAAAGAAGUUCCUCUACUUGGAUAAUGCUUACUUUCAAAGAAGCAUUCGACCAAUACUGAAGAACUGCAUCUGAGGUUUGUGAAUCUGGUUUUGCACAUAGCAAAGAGGCUGCUGAUGAAGUCAAUCUCCUUCAUGUUUUACUGAUUAUAAUGUACUUUUCAAUGUUUAUCAUUCUGUAAUUUCUAGUGAGAAAAGGCAUUGUGAGAAAACUCAAGUAAAAGCCAUGAGUGGAAAAAGGCUGAGUGAAAUACUUGAGAGAAAAGCCUAGAGUUAUUUUCAGAUUUCUUUAGGUAUGUUUAUGUCUUGUAUCUUGUACCUGUGAGGUAUCCCUUUCUUAGUUGGGUUAGCACUAAGAGUGAAUAGUUAGGUAUUAGCAAAGCCAAUGUCAAGUUAGGUUAGAACUUGAGUGUGAAAGGAUUGUGUCAAUCCUGUGAAAUUGGUGUAUGUAAUAACUGUUAACUAUAGUGAAAUUCUUCCAUAGUUGAGGAGGAGACUGGACGUAGGUUGCAUAGCACAAGGCAACCGAACUAGGAUACAUGCUGGUGUUAGCUUUUUCUUCU